AAAUUUAUUUAUAGCCUAAGGGAAAGCCCAGACCUCUUGCUAAACUCCAUACACCAACACGGAAAUAUCAGUGAGCAAAUCCGUGUUACUUUGCCGAAAUUAUGCGAUUACAGUGACUUUCUGCCGGGAUGAGUGAAUGUGACAGUUUAAUGGAGGCCCCAGACAAGAAUACAAGUGACAGCUUCGAUGCUGGGACCCUGCAGAUGGAGGGAGAGGACGAGGACGAGGCUGAUGGAAUGUUGCAGUACAGACGGAUGCCCUCAACAACAGACACCCUGGAGGCUGAUCCUAGAUGGAGAACUACAUUCAAUGACAUGGCGGGUUGGAUCAAACAGCUGUGUAUACGUGAAUGUGUCCUCUACAGACAGGACUUCAAACAGAGCAACAAUGUGUGUCGAUGUGGCCGCAGUGAAGAUGAACACACAGGAGAUGACUGGGAUGGAAACAAACUCAGUACUUGGCAGAAACAGAAGAGCUUCAUUAAGAAAGAGACUGAUACCUUCGGGAGAAUCUUAUUUGAGGCCGUUGAAGUGCCUUCACUGUUUGUCCGCCUUGACAACAAAACAUCGAGCGAGAAAUUGGCCAAUCUUUUGAGCAAGGACAUCCUUGAAGUGAGCAGUAAUGACCUGGUACUGCACUUCGUGGACUUUGAUGAAGCUGAACCCCGUGUUGAUGCUGCCAUUGUUGCUAAACUCCAGGAGAAGCUCAAGGAUGGUCUCAAAGUCCUGGCUGACAAGACACAGCUGCUGCUGACAUCACAUGGGCUACAGACUGGUACGUCCAGCCAUCUUCAUCACGCUCUCAGUCAGCUCCAGAGUCAGACCAGUUUCCGUGUUGGAGUUGUCACUAUGGCCUGUCCCUCCUGGGGCAGUGUGGAUAAGAAGGAUCUCUUCAGCGACUAUGUGAUGGACAGGGAUAUAAAGCCAGGCGCCAGGUCUCAGACAGAGGUUCUGGGGAGGAACCUGUCCCCAUACUUCAGCCACUACCUGUUUGCCGAUGACGGCACCUACCACGUCAACAUGAAACAUCUACAUCAUUUCAGAGAAAUGCUUGAGAAGGCAUUUGAGAAGGCAUUUGAAGGAACUCAUGGUGAGGGUCCCCCGACGGUGUUGGUGUUGAUGAAUGGUGGGUCCAUGGCACUGGCACAUGUGCUCAAGGCUCUACAGAGGCAGAUACCAGUUGUCAUUGUCAAGGGGUCUGGAGGCUGUGCUGACAAGAUUGCAUCCGUGUAUCUCAGAAAAAAACCCAAUUGUAGCAAGACUUUCGACACAACUGGCAAAGUCAGCUUCAAGUACCAUCUGAACGUGGAGAUGGAUGUUAAUGAUGAUGACGAUGAUGAGAUGAAGAUCAGAGACAUACUCAACCACUUUGAGCUGCUUACUGUCUUUGACCCACAACCCCAGACACUGGGGCUGCACAUGGUUGUUGUGUGGGCUUUGCUCAAAGCUAAGCAGGAGAGCAAGCUACACAAACUACUGGAGUCCUUCGUUGCAAACAGCAGUGGGAACAUCUGGACUGGGAACACUCACAACAUGGAGAAUCCACAGGAAAGAACACAGAUCAACCCUCACACCUACUUCCUGUUGGAGACGAUGUUCAACAGCAGCGCUGCCGUGGUGGAGGCCAUCUUGAAGGGCCUUGGCAACCUGAACCAACAUUUCACCAUGGACAACAUCAUACAACUGUACAGCAGGUUUGAACAUCUGGGGCCCUGCAGAAAGUAUUUGAAAGCAGCCAAAGAAAGAAAAUCUUGUUGCACUGAUUGCCAUGCGUUAAAUACUGUAUCAGAUGUGCGAACUGCUCUUCAAGAUAUUCUGGGUACCAGGUACCCACUCACCUGUACAGGCAAACAGUGUCAGUGUCAGGCAGUUGUCACCACCUCAGAUAUGAACACAGUUUUCACAGAGCCGCAAGACUUCCGGUCAUGUCUGCCCCCGAUUCAAGAGAUGUUCCUGUGGGCACUUCUGACCAACAAGCAGAAGCUUGCUAUGAUGUUGUGGAAGUGGAGUGAGGACAAAAUAGCAACUGCUCUGGUUGGGGAGGCAGUACUGCGGGAACUUGCAAAGAAGGAAGACAACUUGGACACUGAAACAGUGUUACACCAUAAUGCUGGAAAGUUUGAUGACUUGGCAGUGGAAAUGUUAAAAAAAUGUUACGAGGUGGAUGAAGAGGAAACGUUCAAUUUGCUGCUGCGGAGGACCAAGUGGUGGGGGAACAAGUCCUGUCUGCAGCUGGCGGUACAGCUGAAGAGUCGCGGGUUCAUUUCCCAGCAAGCCUGCAAGUCGCUCCUCGACAAGAUCUGGUUCGGGGGGAUCAAUGCAUCCAAGUCCUCCUUCAAAAAACUGACCUUGAUGCUGGGGCUCAUUCCAGGCGUUUCCCUCAUCCUCUUCCAGAUCAACAAGAAGGACAGAAAAGGGUUCUCCUUGGAUCCAGGCGAGAGGAAGAAACACAAGUUCCUCUGUGAGAAAGCUGUGCUGUUCUACACGGCUCCUGUCGUCAAGUAUACACUCAACCUGGUGAUGUUCAUUUCGUUUCUACUGUUGUUCAGUUAUGUGCUGCUUGUAGAUCUACAGGAGAAGUUCACCCCAUUACAGGGGGUGCUGUGUGCGUGGGUGGCCACCUAUCUAGGGGAGGAAGUCAGACAGGUUUAUGGUGUUCCUGAGCGCUCCUUAAGGAGGAAGUUUGCGGAGUAUUUUCGUCAAGGUUGGAACAUACUGGACCUGAUAACGAUCGUUGGUCUGAUGGUCGGCAUGUUGCUGGUCCUGGUUCCUGGAGAGACUUGCUACCUGAUUCGCAGGGUCAUCCUCAACAUCGACAUCUUCCUGUUCGCCAUGAGACUGCUCCAGAUGUUUGUUGUGAGGAAGAAUAUUGGGCCUAUGCUGACCAUGAUACAGAGGAUGAUUAGUGAUACUGCAUCAUUUAUGACAAUCCUCCUGGUGUUUGUCUUCUCAUACGGAGUUGUCUCCCAUUCGGUUCUGUUUCCACAAGCUUCUGCUGAGUGGCGCCUCCUAUAUGAUGUUCCUCAUCGAGCCUAUUGGCAGAUCUACGGAGAGUUCUUCCUUGAUGACCUUCAGGACACAGUUAUACGUUUAGUAAGGUUCAGGAAGAGGCAAGUAAGAUUUGGGCGUGGCACAGGUGUCAGAUCAUCCACGAGUUUUACACACGGCCCUGGCUGCCGCCACCAUUUAAUGUCAUCCACCUCCUUGUCUGGCUUCUAAUGUCAUCUGUUCGAGCAGUAAGAGCUGUGUGUAGCAAGUGCUGCAGGCAAUCUUGUUGCCACGGACACCAGACGAGGAGUCAUGAAGAUAGUGCAAUUCCACUUCGCAGUGAAGAUGAUUACAAAGGCGUGUCCUUUGGGCGGGUCCAGGCAUGUAGUGUGGAGAUCCUGUGGGAUGUGGACCAGCUGUACAGCUAUAAGAGAUACAAGCUGACAUAUUGGAGGAAGGAGAGUG
rnacentral:misc_RNA from 1 species